GCUAGUAAUGGCAGGUCAGCAUACUGCCGUGAAUACGUUCCCGGGCCUUGUACACACCGCCCGUCACACCAUGAGAGUUGGAAAUACCCGAAGCCUGUGAGCUAACUGUGAAGAGGCAGCAGUCGAAGGUAGAGCCAAUGAUUGGGGUGAAGUCGUAACAAGGUACC
rnacentral:rRNA from 1 species